UGGGGAAUAUUGGACAAUGGGGGAAACCCUGAUCCAGCAAUGCCGCGUGAGUGAAGAAGGCCUUAGGGUUGUAAAACUCUUUCAGUGGGAAAGGGUGUCGGCGCGAUAACCGCCGGCUCUGACGGUACCUGCAGAGGAAGCCCCGGCCAACUCU
rnacentral:rRNA from 1 species